rnacentral:rRNA from 1 species
UGGGGAAUAUUGCGCAAUGGGCGAAAGCCUGACGCAGCAACGCCGCGUGAGUGAUGAAGGCCUUCGGGUCGUAAAGCUCUGUCGGAGGGAACGAAUGCUCCUGAAGUUAACAGCUUCAGGAUGUGACGGUACCCUCAAAGGAAGCACCGGCUAACUCUGUGCCAGCAGCCGCGGUAAUACAGAGGGUGCAAGCGUUGUUCGGAAUCAUUGGGCGUAAAGGGCGCGUAGGCGGCAAUUCAAGUCAUCUGUGAAAUCUCCGGGCUUAACUCGGAACGGUCAGAUGAUACUGCUUUGCUAGAGUGCAGAAGGGGCAAUCGGAAUUCUUGGUGUAGCGGUGAAAUGCGUAGAUAUCAAGAGGAACACCUGAGGUGAAGACGGGUUGCUGGGCUGACACUGACGCUGAGGCGCGAAAGCCAGGGGAGCAAACGGGAUUAGAUACCCAAGUAGUCCCUGAGCGGGCUGGCAAGGCGCAU